rnacentral:rRNA from 1 species
AAUCUGCCCUGAAGUGGGGGAUAACCACGCGAAAGCGUGGCUAAUACCGCAUAUCCUCCAUGGGAAACCAUGGAGUAAAGCAGAGGAUCAUUUGGGAAACCAAAUGACUUUGUGCUUUUGGAUGAGCCUACGCCGGAUUAGCUAGUUGGUAGGGUAAAAGCCUACCAAGGCAACGAUCCGUAGCUGGUCUGAGAGGACGACCAGCCACACUGGGACUGAGAUACGGCCCGG